GACGAACGCUGGCGGCGUGCCUAAUACAUGCAAGUCGAGCGCAGGAAAUCGGCGGAACCCUUCGGGGGGAAGUCGACGGAAUGAGCGGCGGACGGGUGAGUAACACGUAAAGAACCUGCCCUCAGGUCUGGGAUAACCACGAGAAAUCGGGGCUAAUACCGGAUGGGUCAUCGGACCGCAUGGUCCGAGGAUGAAAGGCGCUUCGGCGUCGCCGGGGGAUGGCUUUGCGGUGCAUUAGCUAGUUGGUGGGGUAAUGGCCAACCAAGGCGACGAUGCAUAGCCGACCUGAGAGGGUGAUCGGCCACACUGGGACUGAGACACGGCCCAGACUCCUACGGGAGGCAGCAGUAGGGAAUCUUCCACAAUGGACGAAAGUCUGAUGGAGCAACGCCGCGUGAACGAUGAAGGCCUUCGGGUCGUAAAGUUCUGUUGUAAGGGAAGAACAAGUGCCGCAGGCAAUGGCGGCACCUUGACGGUACCUUGCGAGAAAGCCACGGCUAACUACGUGCCAGCCGCCGCGGUAACAC
rnacentral:rRNA from 1 species